AGAUGCUUUGGUGGCCUUCGGGAACUCUGAGACAGGUGCUGCAUGGCUGUCGUCAGCUCGUGUUGUGAAAUGUUGGGUUAAGUCCCGNAACGAGCGCAACCCUUAUCCUUUGUUGCCAGCGGUUCGGCCGGGAACUCAAAGGAGACUGCCGGUGAUAAACCGGAGGAAGGUGGGGAUGACGUCAAGUCAUCAUGGCCCUUACGGCCAGGGCUACACACGUGCUACAAUGGCGCAUACAAAGAGAAGCGACCUCGCGAGAGCAAGCGGACCUCAUAAAGUGCGUCGUAGUCCGGAUUGGAGUCUGCAACUCGACUCCAUGAAGUCGGAAUCGCUAGUAAUCGUAGAUCAGAAUGCUACGGUGAAUACGUUCCCGGGCCUUGUACACACCGCCCGUCACACCAUGGGAGUGGGUUGCAAAAGAAGUAGGUAGCUUAACCUUCGGGAGGGCGCUUACCACUUUGUGAUUCAUGACUGGGGUGAAGUCGUAACAAGGUAAGCGUAGCGAG
rnacentral:rRNA from 1 species